rnacentral:tRNA from 1 species
GCCGGCUUAGCUCAGCUGGUAGAGCACCUGAUUUGUAAUCAGGGGGUCGCGGGUUCAAGCCCUGCAGCCGGCACCA